rnacentral:rRNA from 1 species
UACGUAGGGUGCGAGCGUUAAUCGGAAUUAUUGGGCGUAAAGCGUGCGCAGGCGGUUUUUUAAGUCAGAUGUGAAAUCCCCGGGCUUAACCUGGGAAUGGCAUUUGGGACUGCAAGGCUGGAGUGCGGCAGAGGAGACUGGAAUUCCUGGUGUAGCAGUGAAAUGCGUAGAUAUCAGGAGGAAUACCGAUGGCGAAGGCAAUCCCCUGGGCCUGCACUGACGCUCAUGCACGAAAGCGUGGGGAGCAAACAGG